CUUCGUCUAGGACUUCCUUUUUGCAUGAGCAUUCCUAAAACAUAAACAAACUCAUUGAUUUUUCUUCUCCUAAGAACACGUUAACUCCUUCUACUACAGGUGAGUAAGUCUCCAAAGGUCGAGCAUCCGGUAGAUUGCGUAGUAACGUCGUUCACCUAAAAAACAAAAAAACAAAACAAACAAAAAUAGGUUAGCCGAGCUACGGUGCUCUGAUUCUAAUCCUUCUUGAGAUACGUAUGCAGCAGGGUAGGGCCUGUGCGAGCAAUAACUUUUUC
rnacentral:lncRNA from 1 species